GCACGGAGUUUUAAUCCAGGAAAGAGUUGUGAACAAAGUGGCGGGUGCGUAAGGCGUGGGAAUCUGCCGAACAGUUCGGGCUAAAUCCCGAAGAAAGCUAGAAAGCGCUGUUUGAUGAGCCUGCGUAGUAUUAGGUAGUUGGUUAGGUAAAGGCUGAUCAAGCCGAUGAUGCUUAGAUCAGCCACACCGGGACUGAGACACAGCCCGGACUCCCACAGUGGCAGCAGUGAGGAAUCUUGGACAAUGGACGCAAGCCUGAUCCAGCAAUAUUGCAUAAGUGAAGAAGGGCAAUUCCGUUCGUAAAGCUCUUUAGUCGAGUGCGAGAGUUGUAGUGCAUGUGUUCUGCAGACCAAAGCUAGGAUGGUCCAAGGACCA
rnacentral:ncRNA from 1 species